CGGCGGCUCGAGUGGUAACCGUUAUUAUUGGGUCUAAAGGGUCUGUAGCCGGCCGGAUAAGUCUCUUGAGAAAUCUGGCAGCUUAACUGUCAGGCUUUCAGGAGAUACUGUCUGGCUCGAGGCCGGGAGAGGUGAGAGGUACUUCAGGGGUAGGGGUGAAAUCUUGUAAUCCUUGAAGGACCACCAGUGGCGAAGGCGUCUCACCAGAACGGACCUGACGGCAAGGGACGAAAGCUAGGGGCACGAACCGGAUUAGAUACCCGGGUAGUCCUAGCCGUAAACGAUACUCGCUAGGUGUCGGCCACGGUGCGACCGUUGUCGGUGCCGUAGGGAAGCCGUGAAGCGAGCCACCUGGGAAGUACGGCCGCAAGGCUGAAACUUAAAGGAAUUGGCGGGGGAGCACCACAACGGGUGGAGCUUGCGGUUUAAUUGGAUUCAACGCCGGAAAUCUUACCGGGACCGACAGCAAUAUGAAGGCCAGGCUGAAGACUUUGCCGGAUUAGCUGAGAGGUGGUGCAUGGCCGUCGUCAGUUCGUACUGUGAAGCAUCCUGUUAAGUCAGGCAACGAGCGAGACCCACGCCCACAGUUGCCAGCGUACUCUCCGGAGUGACGGGUACACUGUGGGGACCGCCGCUGCUAAAGCGGAGGAAGGAAUGGGCAACGGUAGGUCAGUAUGCCCCGAAUAUCCCGGGCUACACGCGAGCUACAAUGGUUGGUACAAUGGGUAUCUACCCCGAAAGGGGACGGGAAUCUCCUAAAACCAAUCUUAGUUCGGAUUGAGGGCUGCAACUCGCCCUCAUGAAGCUGGAAUCCGUAGUAAUCGCGUUUCAACAGAACGCGGUGAAUACGUCCCUGCUCCUU
rnacentral:rRNA from 1 species